GUUGUGCCACUUUCCACUCAAUAGAAACAAGAAGCCAAAGUUGCAGUCGCAACUGAAAUGAAAAGUACACUCAGUGUGUACGUGGUGUGUGUGCGUAUUUGUGGCAACAAAGCAAAACGCUUUGAAAUGAUGUUAAACUUUGGACUGCACAUGUGUCAAUGAACUCUCCUCACACAUCCACGCUAGCAGUGGGCAUACAUAUGCCACCAUCUAGUGGCGAAAUUAAAAACACAUGAGUUCCACACUGCCCCGCCGUCAACCCAGUAGGCUGAUUUUUUAUUGUUGGUCGUCCAUAAAAUUGCACUGCAAUUUCCGGAGCAGGGCAACACCAAAGAGGAGCGACCUGGCCGCGUAACACAAUAUAUACAGCAAAGGACAAAGGAGUUGGAAACAUGAAACGUCUAGGGUGCGUAGCCCUUACGUAACGCACAUGGCCAGCAAAUGUGUGGCCUUAUGUAUGCGCAGAAGCGAGAAGAGGAAAUGAGGAGCAGGAAUGACGAUGUCAGAGCGAGCGAGAACGAUGCGACAAGAAUAAGAUGCGAGCGAUAGUCGAUUCGCUUCUGUACGGCAGAAGCCAGGCUGCCCGCAAGUGCCCGGGUAGCUCAGUCGGUAGAGCAUUGGACUUUUAAUCCAAGGGUCCAGGGUUCAAGUCCCUGCUCGGGCGGAACUUUUUUGCUGGUUAUUUAAUUUUUUUUUUAGCUUAU